UGGGGAAUAUUGCACAAUGGGCGCAAGCCUGAUGCAGCCAUGCCGCGUGUGUGAAGAAGGCCUUCGGGUUGUAAAGCACUUUCAGCGGGGAGGAAGGCGGUGAGGUUAAUAACCUCACCGAUUGACGUUACCCGCAGAAGAAGCACCGGCUAACUACGUGCCAGCAGCCGCGGUAAUACGUAGGUGGCAAGCGUUGUCCGGAUUUAUUGGGCGUAAAGCGAGCGCAGGCGGUUUCUUAAGUCUGAUGUGAAAGCCCCCGGCUCAACCGGGGAGGGUCAUUGGAAACUGGGAGACUUGAGUGCAGAAGAGGAGAGUGGAAUUCCAUGUGUAGCGGUGAAAUGCGUAGAUAUAUGGAGGAACACCAGUGGCGAAGGCGGCUCUCUGGUCUGUAACUGACGCUGAGGCUCGAAAGCGUGGGGAGCAAACAGG
rnacentral:rRNA from 1 species